AUGACUCUCGGCAACGGAUAUCUCGGCUCUCGCAUCGAUGAAGAACGUAGCGAAAUGCGAUACUUGGUGUGAAUUGCAGAAUCCCGUGAAACAUCGAGUUUUUGAACGCAAGUUGCGCCCGAAGCCGUUAGGCUAAGGGCACGUUUGCCUGGGCGUCGUA
rnacentral:rRNA from 1 species